UACGUAGGUGGCAAGCGUUGUCCGGAAUUAUUGGGCGUAAAGCGCGCGCAGGCGGUUCUUUAAGUCUGAUGUGAAAUCACGUGGCUCAACCACGUGCGGUCAUUGGAAACUGGAGGACUUGAGUGCAGAAGAGGAAAGUGGAAUUCCAAGUGUAGCGGUGAAAUGCGUAGAGAUUUGGAGGAACACCAGUGGCGAAGGCGACUUUCUGGUCUGUAACUGACGCUGAGGCGCGAAAGCAUGGGGAGCGAACGGG
rnacentral:rRNA from 1 species